UAUUACUCGGGCAGCAAAUACCAAAUUCGCACGGUGACAAAAUCGCUCGGAAAUUGCGAAACACCGCCGAAAAGCGCCAACCAAAAUCAAUCCUGCGAGAAAACUCUUCGGGUGUCGCUGAUCGUCGGUGGAAGUUCAUUGCCGAGUCUCACCACCAGGCUGAUACUAACCACGUGAACCGGUGCACUCACACGCGAACCGGAACGGUCCAGUGCAUAGAAGAGGAUCACCAGUAACCUCAGGAAAGUCUAGGAAUUUUGGGACUACGGAGCACAUGUGUGCGUGCAGAACGGUACAUCCGAGCAACUACUUUGUUCUCGGACAGCCUGGUCCAAGCAGCCGUUGACCGGAAGGAGCUCAUAAUCUGCCAGGAAGUGCCACGAAAAUUACCACCAUCCGAUCGAAUCAAAAUAGACGCCACAUCCGUCGGGUUUUCACGAAGAGACUCCGUCUUCCCGGCUCCGCAUCCGCUUGUGGUCUAGGGGAACGCCAGAACAGUAACCAAAAUCUGCGCGGAUACCACGCUACGGAAGCAAUUGGAGUGAGCAGCACAUAGAUCCGUCGGAGCAGCUGAAUCACCCGGAAGCUGACAGAAGCUAGUGACUUCGGGGAGAAGCCUCAAACAAGAAGAGCCUUCAUAUAGAAGUAAGCCUGGACCACUGCUCGUUCCAUAUACGGAGGCUAAUCAGCAUUUCCCGAAAGGGCUCUUUUCCUUACAGCUUCGAGUUGCCCAUUUCGGAAAGGGCGGUUCUGAGGAGUACCCGUGGAACCACAUCCACUCAACCGAAACGGAUUCCGAUCCGACCAGCUUGCUCGCGAAGCCAUCAUCCUGCCAGCGUAGACUCCCAAGGAAGGCAGGGGUUCCACACCGACGACGCAGCGCC